GCAUCAUUAUAUGUCCAAAUCAUCAAGCCUUGCCAACUUUCAGCUCAAGUGAAUACACUAUGUGAGUGCCCCUUCAUGAUCAAGUUUCUGGACCAAUUAUGCUGUUACAAAGCAACUAUGUUGUUUUGUGGUCCACUUCUCCUCCAAAUUAACAGGAUUAUAGUCCUUACUAAGCUAAUCACCUAAGACAUCAAGUUUGGCCCCAGCUCUCCUCUGAUGAUCACAGGUGUGAAGCCAACUUUGCUACAUCAAACUUUCAUCAAUGACUCAUCGAUGACUCAGUUGGCUACAGAGCCCCUUCCCUCUAGCUUUCACUUUCUACCGUCUUCAAGGUGGAGAGACAACACCCCAAACAACGUUUGCCUGGCCAUUGCCUCCUGUUCGUGCCAUGUCGCGUGGUGACCGCGUUGGAUUUUGCCUACGCACGCGUUGUGCUCUCUGUGGCCGCGUCCAGGACGUCGCCUAGCUCCGGCCCCUCCCUCUCUCGUCGUCUUCGCGCACGUGAGCGUGUCUAGCGGCUUCCACUCGUCGUCACCUUCACCUUGGACCCCUCUCCCCCUCCGGCAGCUUCCUCGUCGGGGCUCGCUGCCGCGUGCCCACGGGCCAACACAUGGCUCUGUUCGUGCUCGUCUCUUCCUCCUCGUGCCCCUGGCUCCGUCCACUGCCCCGUGAACCUCCCCUGUACCCUCUCGUCGCCUACCAUCGAGCAAGCUCGCGUGCCCAUGCGUCCGCGGCUCCGGCGACGUGUCCCGCGGCCGUGCUCGGCCACCCGCGUCGCCCUGCCUAUUUAAGCCAUCCCCGAGCUCCCUAGACCACUCCAGGCUCUUCUCCAUCCUCCUCUACACCUCCCCGACCCCUCAAUCCAUCGCCAGAGCCUCUCCCCUCAUCCCUCCGCCACAAUGGCCGUCGCGAAGCUCGGCUUAAAUACGAGCUAGCCGAUCCCCUCCUCCACUCCCUGACCUCUCCACGAGCUUCCCAGUGCUACGGAGAUCCUCCCCCAACCCAUCCGUUCGUCGCCGGGACUCCUGUGGCCGCGCGUCCCCAACCUUUUGGCCGCCGCCGUUGCUCUCUGCCACCGCGGCCACCUCGUGCUCCGCCCCUCCCCGGCGCCCACGACCAGGCCAGGUGGAUGCGGCGCUGUUCCCCGGUCCCUCCGGCGGCCUCGCCCCGGCCUGAGGUGGCCGGAGCCGCCCGGCCCGUCGCCGGCAACGCCCUCCCGUGCUCCCUCCUGUGUUUCCAUCGGGGGCAGGGAGAGGAGGAAGGAGACGACGCGCCUGCCCCCCCUCUGCCCGCGGGGACCGCAUGUCGGCCUCUGGCCGUUAACCCAGCCCGGGACACGUCAUUAAGUGGAGGCAUAUUUUCAGAAUACGUUUGAUGAAAGCGUACUUUGAAUCAACUGCGGCUUAAAAUGCGCUUUCUUUUGCAGAAAACAUAUGCGGCUGAAGGCGCUUUCUGUUUUAACCUCCAAGGGCCUGUCUGCGAUUUUUUUUACAGAUUGGUCCCUUUGCUUCAAACACUCGUAUCUCCGCAACCGUAACUCCGUUUGAGCCCCCUCCGAGAGAGAAGCGUUCCCGCGAAUCGUCCCGUGACUUCACCGCACUUCUUCUCAGAGUAUUCUUCAUCCCCAGGCAAGCCACGACAACCACUUGCAUGAUGGAUUUGUAGUAGCCAUGGUUUUCACUUUAAUAUUUAAUAAAUGACUGCUCGUUUAA